rfam:Vigna angularis cultivar Jingnong 6 chromosome 2, whole genome shotgun sequence.
GUUGAGGGGAAUGGUGUCUGGUUCGAGACCAUUCAUUCUAAAGCAAAGUUCAUCCAUCGUAUCAGAGAAUGAUCUCGGACCAGGCUUCAUUCCCCCUAGC